rnacentral:rRNA from 1 species
CCUACGGGUGGCUGCAGUGGGGAAUAUUGGACAAUGGGGGGAACCCUGAUCCAGCCAUGCCGCGUGUGUGAAGAAGGCCCUCGGGUUGUAAAGCACUUUCAGUGAGGAAGAACGCCUGGUGGUUAAUACCCAUCAGGAAAGACAUCACUCACAGAAGAAGCACCGGCUAACUCCGUGCCAGCAGCCGCGGUAAUACGGAGGGUGCGAGCGUUAAUCGGAAUUACUGGGCGUAAAGCGCGCGUGGGUGGCUUGAUAAGCCGGUUGUGAAAGCCCCGGGCUCAACCUGGGAACGGCAUCCGGAACUGUCAAGCUAGAGUGCAGGAGAGGAAGGUAGAAUUCCCGGUGUAGCGGUGAAAUGCGUAGAGAUCGGGAGGAAUACCAGUGGCGAAGGCGGCCUUCUGGACUGACACUGACACUGAGGUGCGAAAGCGUGGGUAGCAAACAGGAUUAGAUACCCUGGUAGUC